UUACAGCUCUCAGCCUGAGAACCUGCCUCUUUGGCUCAAGCUGUGAAGACUCCUACUUUCACCUCUGGAAGGCUUCAGUUACAGUAUCAGCCAAGAUGGCAGCCACUACAACAGUGUCUUACAACAUCUCCCAGGACUGGGAGAAUGCACCUCGGCUGGAGAUAUUUUUCAUUACUAGAGAAGAUGCAAAUUCCAGUUUCCACUCAGAGUUUGGAGCAUUUCCCCCCAUUGUGUAAGGGCCUUCCAUGCUGGCACUCGCUUCCCCAUUGGUUCAACGGAACCUGAAUUUGUUGACCUUCAGAGUCCGUUAUAAGGACGGGUCUCUGCCUGAGAUGAAGAUGAUGGAGGAUUUCUAAGGAGCCGUCUGCCAGAAAGUUCAAUCAGAAAUAGCACAUUAUUACAAGAAAGACUGUUCUCAUGGUGUUUGCAUCCUGCCUGGAACCACUGGACAUCUGAGAAGGAGGAAGCCUUUUCUUACAUGAUUCCAGCAGAUGCAAAAGGUUUGGAGGCAACUUAGAUAAGGAUCUGAAGCAAGCUGAGUUGAACAGCAAGUAAACAAAUGAGCAGAACACCCCACCCUUCCUCUUAUUUGAACGCUGUGCAGUUAAUUGAGAAUGUGAUCGACCAGUCCUUCCCUUGCUGCCAGUGCAAACUCUUGUAAAUUCAUGUCGCCCGUCUUCUACAGAAGCAACAGCAGCACUUGCCCUUCCGCUUGCCGUUUGUUUGGACAGCCAGUGGCACUGCUCAUGGAGAAAGUAAGACAUA